rnacentral:snRNA from 1 species
CCACCAAUAGGGAACGUGAGC